AGUUAGCUAACAUAUAGUGUAGAUGAAUAGAUUACUGUGAUUCAUAGCUUACAUACAACACCCAGUGCUCAUUCCAACAAGUGCCCUCCUCAAUGCCCAUCAUCCAUUUUCCCCACUCCACCACCCUUCCACCCCCA